GAUCAUUACAAGAACGCCCGGGCUUCGGCCUGGUUAUUCAUAACCCUUUGUUGUCCGACUCUGUUGCCUCCGGGGCGACCCUGCCUUCGGGCGGGGGCUCCGGGUGGACACUUCAAACUCUUGCGUAACUUUGCAGUCUGAGUAAACUUAAUCAAUAAAUUAAAACUUUUAACAACGGAUCUCUUGGUUCUGGCAUCGAUGAAGAACGCAGCGAAAUGCGAUAAGUAAUGUGAAUUGCAGAAUUCAGUGAAUCAUCGAAUCUUUGAACGCACAUUGCGCCCCCUGGUAUUCCGGGGGGCAUGCCUGUUCGAGCGUCAUUUCACCACUCAAGCCUCGCUUGGUAUUGGGCAACGCGGUCCGCCGCGUGCCUCAAAUCGUCCGGCUGGGUCUUCUGUCCCCUAAGCGUUGUGGAAACUAUUCGCUAAAGGGUGUUCGGGAGGCUACGCCGUAAAACAACCCCAUUUCUAAGGUUGACCUCGGAUCAGGUAGGGAUACCCGCUGAACUUAAGCAUAUCUAAAACC
rnacentral:misc_RNA from 1 species